rnacentral:rRNA from 1 species
CGCAUCUGUGCAUGCAGCAUAUCAAUAAGCGGAGGAAAAGAAACUAACAAGGAUUCCCUUAGUAACGGCGAGUGAAGCGGGAAGAGCUCAAAUUUGAAAUCUUAAAGGGUUUCCCUUUACGAAUUGUAGUUUAAAGAAGUGUUUUCUGUUGAGGUUUUGGUAAAAGUUCUUUGGAAUAGGACAUCAUAGAGGGUGAGAAUCCCGUAUUUGACCAUUACUUUCAACUGUGUGAUACACUUUCAAAGAGUCGGAUUGUUUGGGAAUGCAGUCCAAAAUGGGUGGUAAAUUUCAUCUAAAGCUAAAUAUUGGCGAGAGACCGAUAGCGAACAAGUACCGUGAGGGAAAGAUGAAAAGAACUUUGAAAAGAGAGUUAAACAGUACGUGAAAUUGUCAAAAGGGAAGCGUUUGACACCAGUGUUGUUUUUCUGAAAAUCAAUUAAAGAACUGUUUAUGCUAAGUUGUUUAGACUUUAUCAGCUAUCUGCUUAGUUUUGAGCUUUUCUUUAAUGCACUUUUCAGUUAACAAGUCAACAUCAAUUUCUUUUGCUGUAAAAAAGCUUGAGGAAGGUGGCUUGAGAUUCGUCUUAAGUGUUUAUAGCCUCUUGCCUAUGCAGUCGGAGAGAUUGAGGUCUGCAGCGUAGAUCCUUCGGGGCUAAAUGCAUUUGUGCUAAGUUAUAGCAUUUUAUAGACAACUUGUUGACUAUGAUUUGUCUUGUAGCUUACUCGCUUAUGUUAUUUUACCUACGCUUAGGAUGUUGACGAGACUGUCGAUCUC